ACGCUAGCUUCGGCAGCACAUAUACUAAAACUGACACAGUACAAAGAUUAGCACGACCCCUGCCCAAGGAUGAUAGGCAAAUUCAUGAAGUGUUCCAUAUUUUU